AAAGUUUUUCUUCUAUGUAUGUAUGAAAUCUCUUAAAAACAUAUCUGACAAUCCUAUUUGAUUGUGUUUCUUGUAUGUAUGAAAUCUCUUAAAAACAUGACUGACGAUCAUAUUUGAAUGUGUUUUUUUGUAUGUAUGACAUCUCUUAAAAACAUAACUGACAAUUAUAUUUGAAUGUGAUUUUUGGAUGUAUGACAUCUCUUAAAACCAUAACUGACGAUCAUAUUUGAAUGUGUUUCUUGUAUGUAUGACAUCUCUUAACAACAUAACUGACAAUCAUAUUUGAAAGUCUUUCUUCUAUGUAUGUAUGAAAUCUCUUAAAAACAUGACUGACGAUCAUAUUUAAAUGUGUUUCUUGUACGUAUGUUUCAAAAUGAAAUUCAAAAGCUGUGAGAAGCUUGUCUUUGUUCUUACUUUUUCUUGGGUAACAAUGACGUGGAGGCCGAUACAAGAAAAACGAAAACAUUGACGUCCUCGUAUGACUUAACGCGCACCUUCAUAGAAGACGUCAGGGCACCAGCUGGGAUGAGACUGCAGACAUUGAUGGAGACCAAUUUCCAUGGAGACAAUAUGCCGCACAUGCGCAGAACGGCUUGGAAGAAUUUUAGUCUUAUCCACUAGCGGAUCCAGAACUUUGGAGUGGGGGGGGGCGAUUUUUUUCC